GACGAACGCUGGCGGCGUGCUUAACACAUGCAAGUCGAACGAAGUGGCGAACGGGUGAGUAACGCGUAAUCAACCUGCCCUUCAGCGGGGGACCACAGUUGGAACCGACUGCUAAUACCGCAUACUGAAGGAGGGGAUUGCGUCUGAUUGGCUCGUUGGAGGGGUAACGGCCCACCAAGGCGAUGAUCAGGAGCCGGUUUGCGAGGAUGACCGGCCACAUUGGGAUUGAGACACGGCCAAGACUUCUACGGGAGGCAGCAGGGGGGAAUUUUCCUCAAUGGACGAAAGUCUGACGGAGCAACGCCGCGUGAGUGAUGACGGCCUUCGGGUUGUAAAGCUCUGUUAAUCGGUACGCGGUACCGGAAUAGAAAGCCACGGCUAACUACGUGCCAGCAGCCGCGGUAAUAC
rnacentral:rRNA from 1 species